rnacentral:rRNA from 1 species
GAUAACGCUAGCGGGAGGCCUAACACAUGCAAGCCGAGCGGUAUUAUUCUUCGGGAAUAAGAGAGCGGCGUACGGGUGCGUAACACGUGUGCAACCUGCCUUUAGUCUGGGGGAUAGGCCUUUCGAAAGGAAGAUUAAUACCCCAUAAUAUAAUGAUUGGCAUCAAUCAUUAUUGAAAGCUCCGGUGGAUAAAGAUGGGCACGCGCAAGAUUAGAUAGUUGGUGAGGUAACGGCUCACCAAGUCUGUGAUCUUUAGGGGUCCUGAGAGGGAGAUCCCCCACACUGGUACUGAGACACGGACCAGACUCCUACGGGAGGCAGCAGUGAGGAAUAUUGGACAAUGGGUGAAAGCCUGAUCCAGCCAUCCCGCGUGAAGGAUGACGGUCCUAUGGAUUGUAAACUUCUUUUGUACAGGGAUAAACCUAGAUACGUGUAUCUAGCUGAAGGUACUGUACGAAUAAGCACCGGCUAACUCCGUG